GCCUGAAUAGCUCAGUCGGUAGAGCAGAGGACUGAAAAUCCUCGUGUCGGUGGUUCGAUUCCGCCUUCAGGCA
rnacentral:tRNA from 2 species